rnacentral:rRNA from 1 species
UGAAAAGCACUUCGAACAGAAGAGUGAAAUAGUCCCUGAACCCAUACGCCUACAAGCAGUCGGAGCCGCUUCGUGCGGUGACGGCGUGCCUUUUGCAUAAUGAGCCUACGAGUUACUCAUCACCAGCGAGGUUAAGUACUUCAGGUACGUAAGCCGAAGCGAAAGCGAGUCUGAAUAGGGCGUCAAGUUGGUGGUGGUAGACGCGAAACCUUAGUGAUCUACCCAUGGGCAGGGUGAAGGUUUGGUAACACAAACUGGAGGCCCGAACCGGUAAACGUUGAAAAGUUUUCGGAUGACCUGUGGGUAGGGGUGAAAGGCCAAUCAAACUGGGAAAUAGCUCGUACUCUCCGAAAUGCAUUUAGGUGCAGCCUCUGUUGUUUUGUUCUAGAGGUAGAGCUACUGAUUGGAUGCGAGGGCUUCACCGCCUAUCAAAUCCGGCCAAACUCCGAAUGCUAGAACAUGAAGACAGGGAGUGAGCCAGCGGGUGCUAAGGUCCGUUGACGAAAGAGGGAGAACUCAGACCAUCAGCUAAGGUCCCCAAUUAUAUGCUAAGUUGGAAUAAAAACGGGGUGGGACUGCUUAGACAGCUAGGAUGUUGGCUUGGAAGCAGCCAUUCAUUUAAAGAGUGCGUAACAGCUCACUAGUCGAGCGGUCCUGCAUGGAUAAUACGCGGGCAUAAGCAUAUAACCGAAGCUAUGGGAUUGUAGAUGAUACAAUCGGUAGGAGAGCAUUCCAUUCAGCAUAGAAGCAGUACCGUGAGGUAUUGUGGAGCGGAUGGAAAAGCAAAUGUAGGCAUAAGUAACGAUAAUGCGGGUGAGAACCCCGCACGCCGAAAGAUCAAGGAUUCCCCGGCAAUGUCAAUCAUCCGGGGGUAAGUCGGAUCCUAAGGGUAAGCCGAGUGGCGAUCCCGAUGGCAAACAGGUUAAUAUUCCUGUACUGAUCAUAACUGCGAUGCAGCGACGCAGAGGUGACACUGCUGCGUACUGACGGAAUAGUACGUUGAAACCCGUAUUCUUUGAUACCGGUAGUGAAGCACGCCGGUAGAGAUGAAAGGUGAUAGUACCGCAAUGCUUCGGUUGCGCGGAUAAUGCAGGUAAGCUGACUGCCAAGAAAACCUGCUAAGCUUCAGGUAAUGAUCAUCCGUACUGUAAACGGACACACGUGAUCAGGUAGAAAAUACUAAGGCGCUGAGAGAUUCAUGGUUAAGGAACUAGGCAAAAUGGUCCUGUAACUUCGGGAUAAAGGACGCUCUUGUGAAAGAGCCGCAGAUAAUAGGCCCAGGCGACUGUUUACCAAAAACACAUGGCUAUGCUAAUUCGCAAGAAGAUGUAUAUGGCCUGACACCUGCCCGGUGCCGGAAGGUUAAGAGGAGAGCUCAGAUGUAAGUCGAAGGUUUGAAUUGAAGCCCCGGUAAACGGCGGCCGUAACUAUAACGGUCCUAAGGUAGCGAAAUUCCUUGUCGGGUAAGUUCCGACCUGCACGAAUGGUGUAACGAUCUGGGUACUGUCUCAACCAUGAGCUCGGUGAAAUUGUAGUUCCGGUGAAGAUGCCGGAUACCCGCAACGGGACGGAAAGACCCCGUGAACCUUUACUGCAGCUUUGCAUUGAUUUUGGGUAACAGAUGUGUAGGAUAGGUCGGAGGCUUUGAUGCUGCGUCGUCAGGCGUAGAGUAGCCGUCGUUGAAAUACGACCCUUUUGUUAUCUGAGGUCUAACCCGUUAGGGAGACAUUGCAUGGUGGGUAGUUUGACUGGGGUGGUCGCCUCCAAAAGUGUAACGGAGGCUUCUCAAGGUACCCUCAAGGCGUUUGGUAAUCGUCUGCAGAGUGCAAUGGCAUAAGGGUGCUUGACUGUGAGACCGACACGUCGAUCAGGUUGGAAACAAGAGCAUAGUGAUCCGGUGGUUCCGCAUGGAAGGGCCAUCGCUCAAAGGAUAAAAGGUACUCCGGGGAUAACAGGCUGAUCGCUCCCAAGAGCUCAUAUCGACGGAGCGGUUUGGCACCUCGAUGUCGGCUCGUCACAUCCUGGGGCUGGAGAAGGUCCCAAGGGUUCGGCUGUUCGCCGAUUAAAGUGGCACGCGAGCUGGGUUCAGAACGUCGUGAGACAGUUCGGUCCCUAUCUGUUGUGGGCGCAGGAUAUUUGAGGAGCUCUGACUCUAGUACGAGAGGACCGGGUUGGACAUACCUCUGGUGAAUCAGUUGUGUCGCCAGAUGCACUGCUGAGUAGCUAUGUAUGGAUUGGAUAAGCGCUGAAAGCAUCUAAGCGCGAAGCCAGCUUCAAGAUGA